AGAGUUUGAUCCUGGCUCAGAAUGAACGCUGGCGGCGUGCCUAACACAUGCAAGUCGGAUGUGCCGCAAGGUGCAUGGCAGACGGGUGAGUAACGCGUAGGGAAUCUACCUCUUUGUGGGGAAUAACGCUCCGAAAGGAGUGGUAAUACCGCAUGAGACCGAGUGCUGGGAUGCAUUCGGUGAAACCUGGGGACCGCAAGGCCUGGGGCAAGGAGAGGAUCCUGCGUCUGAUUAGCUAGUUGGCGGGGUAAUGGCCCACCAAGGCGACGAUCAGUAGCCGGCCUGAGAGGGUGAUCGGCCACACUGGAACUGAGACACGGUCCAGACUCCUACGGGAGGCAGCAGUGGGGUAUUUUGCGCAAUGGACGAGAGUCUGACGCAGCAACGCCGCGUGGGUGAUGAAGGUCUUCGGACUGUAAAACCCUGUCGUCAGGGACGAAGGUG
rnacentral:rRNA from 1 species